AGCACCUUUAAAAUCAGUCCCGUGAGGCUGGCAAGGUGAACGACGAAUCGAACGGUCCAAGCGGAUGCGCCGACGGCAUAGAUGCCGGUGAGGUGUGUCUGUCCCGGUAUGACCUGUUCUGUUCCUGUGCGCGCAAACCUUGCCGAUACGGCAAGGUUUUUUUAUG
rfam:Paenibacillus sp. MSt1 Contig_4, whole genome shotgun sequence.